rnacentral:rRNA from 1 species
CGAGCACGCGCGUGUGGCAUAUCAAUAAGCGGAGGAAAAGAAACUAACAAGGAUUCCCUUAGUAACGGCGAGUGAAGCGGGAAGAGCUCAAAUUUGAAAUCUUCAAGGUUCUACCUUGACGAAUUGUAGUUUAUAGAAGUGUUUUCUGUUAGUAGGAGUGGCAAAAGUUCUUUGGAAUAGGACAUCAUAGAGGGUGAGAAUCCCGUAUUUGGUCAUUCUCUUCCUAGCUUUGUGAUACACUUUCAACGAGUCGGAUUGUUUGGGAAUGCAGUCCGAAAUGGGUGGUAAAUUUCAUCUAAAGCUAAAUAUUGGCGAGAGACCGAUAGCGAACAAGUACCGUGAGGGAAAGAUGAAAAGAACUUUGAAAAGAGAGUUAAACAGUACGUGAAAUUGUCAAAAGGGAAGCGUUUGACACCAGUGUUGUUUUUCCGAAAAUCAAUUACGAAUGUUUUGUUUUUGAGAAGUUAUGACUUCAUCGGCUUGCUCUCUUCUUUACGAAACUUUCCUUAAUGCACUUUUCGGUUAACAAGUCAACAUCAAUUUCUUUUGUUGUAAAAGGGUAUGAGGAAGGUGGCUUUCUUUUCGGAGAAAGUGUUUAUAGCCUUGUACCUCUGCAAUCGGAGAGAUUGAGGUCUGCAGCGUAGAUCCUUCGGGGUUAGAUACAUUUGUGCUAAGUUAUAGCUUUUCAUAGACAACUUGUUGACUAUGUUAAGGUCUUGUAGCUUACUCGCUUAUGCUAUUUUACCUACGCUUAGGAUGUUGAACUCUAUCACACACAG